CGCAGUGGUGUUUUGCCAUGGCUUUGUUUGGACUUGUUUGUUUGCUUUUUGGCCUUGAAUGUUUGUCCCUAAUAUUUUAUUAACUGUGCAUUUGCAUUCAGAUAUCGCAGAUCAAAUUUAUUCGUUCAUAGUGUAUUUAUUUACGUUUUUUGAUUUUGUUAAGCCUGCCAAUUGAUAUUUUAUCGUGUGUUUUUCUAUGUUGUGAUGUU
rnacentral:lncRNA from 1 species